rnacentral:rRNA from 1 species
GACGAACGCUGGCGGCGUGCUUAACACAUGCAAGUCGAACGGAAAGGCCCUGCUUGCAGGGUACUCGAGUGGCGAACGGGUGAGUAACACGUGGGUGAUCUGCCCUGCACUUCGGGAUAAGCUUGGGAAACUGGGUCUAAUACCGGAUAGGAGCCAUCUUUAGUGUGGUGGUUGGAAAGUUUUUUCGGUGUAGGAUGAGCUCGCGGCCUAUCAGCUUGUUGGUGGGGUAAUGGCCUACCAAGGCGGCGACGGGUAGCCGGCCUGAGAGGGUGUACGGCCACAUUGGGACUGAGAUACGGCCCAGACGCCUACGGGAGGCAGCAGUGGGGAAUAUUGCACAAUGGGCGCAAGCCUGAUGCAGCGACGCCGCGUGGGGGAUGAAGGCCUUCGGGUUGUAAACUCCUUUCGCUAGGGACGAAGCUUUUUGUGACGGUACCUAGAGAAGAAGCACCGGCUAACUACGUG